rnacentral:rRNA from 1 species
AUUGAACGCUGGCGGCAUGCCUUACACAUGCAAGUCGAACGGCAGCGGGGGAGAAGCUUGCUUUUCCUGCCGGCGAGUGGCGAACGGGUGAGUAAUACAUCGGAACGUGCCCUGUAGUGGGGGAUAACUAGUCGAAAGAUUAGCUAAUGCCGCAUACGACCUGAGGGUGAAAGUGGGGGACCGCAAGGCCUCCUGCUAUAGGAGCGGCCGAUGUCUGAUUAGCUAGUUGGUGGGGUAAAGGCCUACCAAGGCGACGAUCAGGAGCUGGUCUGAGGGGACGGUCGGCCACACUGGGACUGAGACACGGCCCAGACUCCUACGGGGGGCAGCAGUGGGAAAUUUUGGACAAUGGGCGAAAGCCUGAUCCAGCAAUGCGGCGUGUGUGAAGAAGGCCUUCGGGUUGUAAAGCACUUUUGUCCGGAAAGAAGUGGCUCUGGUUAAUACCUGGGGUCGAUGACGGUACCGGAAGAAUAAGGACCGGCUAACUACGUGCCAGCCGCCGCCGUAA